GCGGCGUGCCUAAUACAUGCAAGUCGAGCGAACGGACGAGAAGCUUGCUUCUCUGAUGUUAGCGGCGGACGGGUGAGUAACACGUGGAUAACCUACCUAUAAGACUGGGAUAACUUCGGGAAACCGGAGCUAAUACCGGAUAAUAUUUUGAACCGCAUGGUUCAAAAGUGAAAGACGGUCUUGCUGUCACUUAUAGAUGGAUCCGCGCUGCAUUAGCUAGUUGGUAAGGUAACGGCUUACCAAGGCAACGAUGCAUAGCCGACCUGAGAGGGUGAUCGGCCACACUGGAACUGAGACACGGUCCAGACUCCUACGGGAGGCAGCAGUAGGGAAUCUUCCGCAAUGGGCGAAAGCCUGACGGAGCAACGCCGCGUGAGUGAUGAAGGUCUUCGGAUCGUAAAACUCUGUUAUUAGGGAAGAACAUAUGUGUAAGUAACUGUGCACAUCUUGACGGUACCUAAUCAGAAAGCCACGGCUAACUACGUGCCAGCAGCCGCGGUAAUACGUAGGUGGCAAGCGUUAUCCGGAAUUAUUGGGCGUAAAGCGCGCGUAGGCGGUUUUUUAAGUCUGAUGUGAAAGCCCACGGCUCAACCGUGGAGGGUCAUUGGAAACUGGAAAACUUGAGUGCAGAAGAGGAAAGUGGAAUUCCAUGUGUAGCGGUGAAAUGCGCAGAGAUAUGGAGGAACACCAGUGGCGAAGGCGACUUUCUGGUCUGUAACUGACGCUGAUGCGCGAAAGCGUGGGGAUCAAACAGGAUUAGAUACCCUGGUAGUCCACGCCAUAAACGAUGAGUGCUAAGUGUUAGGGGGUUUCCGCCCCUUAGUGCUGCAGCUAACGCAUUAAGCACUCCGCCUGGGGAGUACGACCGCAAGGUUGAAACUCAAAGGAAUUGACGGGGACCCGCACAAGCGGUGGAGCAUGUGGUUUAAUUCGAAGCAACGCGAAGAACCUUACCAAAUCUUGACAUCCUUUGACAACUCUAGAGAUAGAGCCUUCCCCUUCGGGGGACAAAGUGACAGGUGGUGCAUGGUUGUCGUCAGCUCGUGUCGUGAGAUGUUGGGUUAAGUCCCGCAACGAGCGCAACCCUUAAGCUUAGUUGCCAUCAUUAAGUUGGGCACUCUAAGUUGACUGCCGGUGACAAACCGGAGGAAGGUGGGGAUGACGUCAAAUCAUCAUGCCCCUUAUGAUUUGGGCUACACACGUGCUACAAUGGACAAUACAAAGGGCAGCGAAACCGCGAGGUCAAGCAAAUCCCAUAAAGUUGUUCUCAGUUCGGAUUGUAGUCUGCAACUCGACUACAUGAAGCUGGAAUCGCUAGUAAUCGUAGAUCAGCACGCUACGGUGAAUACGUUCCCGGGUCUUGUACACACCGCCCGUCACACCACGAGAGUUUGUAACACCCGAAGCCGGUGGAGUAACCUUUUAGGAGCUAGCCGUCGAAGGGGGGACAAAUGAUUGGGGUGAAGUC
rnacentral:rRNA from 1 species